UUGAAUCACGAACUACAACCCUAGUUCCCUCCCUCUCUCUUCUGUUUACGACAGUAGGAGGUAGAAGAUCCGCUGGUCGCUCUCUUCCUCCUCGGUACACUCUAUCUCACCGAGCUCUCUCUCCCUCUUCAUUACGAUGGCCACUGAUGUCGUCGUUAGGUACUUAGCAGGAGCUUGCAUAGGAGGUGUCGUUGUGGAGCAUGGACAUUGAGUGUUCAUGAUGAACUUAUGAACUUUUAAACUUAUGAUUUGGGUUUGAACUAUUUUCUUCCGCUGAUAACAUAGACUUGUUAAACUGUUUUGACACCAAUUAUAUUGGUUGGUUUGGACUUUUACUUAUU
rnacentral:lncRNA from 1 species